rnacentral:rRNA from 1 species
AAGAAGGCCUUCGGGUUGUAAAGCAACUUUUGUCCGGAAAGAAAACUUACUGCCCUAAUACGGUGGGAGGAUGACGGUACCGGAAGAAUAAGCACCCGGCUAACUACGUGC